CGGAAUUCCCAGGGAAAAACCCAGAAUUUCAGGGUUUUCCACAAAAAAAAAAUCCCUGUGGGUUUAGGGUUUUCAAUAAACGGAAUUUUGAAGGAGUUUUGGUGAAUUUUUUGGGGGUUUAUCCCGAAUUUUGGGGGGUUUGGAUGUUGGGAGAUCCCCCCUGAGAGUCAGAAUUCCCAGGAAAAUCCUGGAAUUCCCAGAAAAAUCCCAGAAUUCCCAGGGAAAAUCCCGGAAUUUCUGCGCUUUCCGUGGAAAAAAUCACUGCGGGUUCGGGGGUUUCAGUAAACGGAAUUUUGAAGGAGUUUUGGUGAUUUUUAGGGGGAGUUUGGAGCUCCCGAGAUUCAGAAUUCCCGAGAAAAAUCCUGGAGUUCCUAGGAAAAAAUCCCAGAAUUCCCAAGAAAAAUCCUGGAAUUUCGAAGUUGUCCCCAAAAAAUCUGUUAUUUUUAUUGGUGUCGAUAAACGGAAUUUGAAGGA